UCCACGCCCUAAACGAUGCCAACUAGGUGUUGGGGAAGGAGACUUCCUUAGUACCGUAGCUAACGCGUGAAGUUGGCCGCCUGGGGAGUACGGUCGCAAGAUUAAAACUCAAAGGAAUUGACGGGGACCCGCACAAGCGGUGGAUGAUGUGGAUUAAUUCGAUGCAACGCGAAAAACCUUACCUACCCUUGACAUGUCAGGAACUUUCCAGAGAUGGAUU
rnacentral:rRNA from 1 species